rnacentral:siRNA from 1 species
GCGAGAGUAGUACUAGGAUGG